AGAGUUUGAUCAUGGCUCAGGACGAACGCUGGCGGCGUGCUUAACACAUGCAAGUGGUGCGACGAACCAGGGCUUGCCCUGGGGCCAAGCCGCGAACGGGUGAGUAACACGUGAGUAACCUGCCCCGAUGACCGGGACAACCCGAGGAAACUCGGGCUAAUACCGGAUGUGGUGCACAUUCUUAAGUUUGUGUACUAAAGGAAGCUUCGGCCUCCGCAUUGGGAGGGGCUCGCGGCCCAUUAGCUUGUUGGUGAGGUAACGGCUCACCAAGGCUGCGAUGGGUAGCUGGUCUGAGAGGACGAUCAGCCACACUGGGACUGAGACACGGCCCAGACUCCUACGGGAGGCAGCAGUGGGGAAUCUUGCGCAAUGCGCGAAAGCGUGACGCAGCAACGCCGCGUGGGGGAAGACGGCCUUCGGGUUGUAAACCCCUUUCAGGAGGGACGAAGGUUCACCGGUUAACAGCCGUGUGGAUUGACGGUACCUCCAGAAGAAGCUCCGGCUAACUACGUGCCAGCAGCCGCGGUAAUACGUAGGGAGCAAGCGUUGUCCGGAAUCAUUGGGCGUAAAGCGCGCGUAGGCGGCCUCAUAAGUCCGUUGUGAAAGUCAAAGGCUCAACCUUUGAAGGCCGAUGGAUACUGUGAGGCUAGAGUCCGGAAGAGGCGAGUGGAAUUCCUGGUGUAGCGGUGGAAUGCGCAGAUAUCAGGAGGAACACCAAUAGCGAAGGCAGCUCGCUGGGACGGUACUGACGCUAAGGCGCGAAAGCGUGGGGAGCGAACAGGAUUAGAUACCCUAGUAGUCC
rnacentral:rRNA from 1 species